rnacentral:lncRNA from 10 species
AAAUGAAUUAAGCAACUUGCUAAGGACAGGAUCACUGGAUACUGCAAGGCAAUAUAGAUGGUAGACGGGCAAGAGUGGAAGGAUCUCUCCAAUUUGAAGAAGAUGGCAAAACGUUGCCCUUGCAUAACAUCAGAAGAUCCCUAAUGUCUGCCUUGAAGAGCUCUCGACAAUAGCAGCAAUGAACUACAGGAAAUAGAUUUUGGACUGCAAGAGGUAUAUUCCAUGAGAAAAUUAGACUACUGACUUACAAUCUGAAAGAAAAAUGUUUGAUUGAGUUCAGCAACAGAAGCUGUUGUGGCUGUUCUAGGCAGUUUGUUUUUCCAUAUUGAAACAAAGAAACUUGCUGAGAUUUUUAUUGUAAUUACUUUGUCUGCAUAUUGAUUUGGAAUUAACUUUGGAAUAAUAUUGGAUAUUACAAGCCAUGGGUAUAAUUAACAGAAACAUAUUACAUACCCCUGAAAUCGACCAUGCAAGAAACAAUAUAAAAUUAAGACACCUCGGAUUGCUGCUCAUGUAGGCACUAAGAAAACAAGCAAGCAAACAAGCAGAAAAUCCAGGAAAUGUUACAAUGUCAUUGCUACAUGAAGAGAAGAUCAAGAGAAUUCAGCCAGAAGACUGUAGAAACAAAGGCAUGAAUCAUGCUGUCCUUGGAUAACCCGGUGUCACCCAGAAUCUCUGUAUCCCUUGGAAAUGUAGACUUUCUCCAACCGCCUCUCCCUCCUUGGUGGCUAUAACAGUUUUGGAUUAUUGCUUGCUCUUGAAAUGUGUUGUUUCAAAGGAACACAUUAUUUUGGACAUGCAAUCAGAUGAAACAUUAAAGGAGAGAAGCCUGAAGAACAAAGCAGCCACAGAUCAACAGGAGUAUAGUUUAUUAGAGGUUGGUUAGAGACUUUUUGCUAA